rnacentral:lncRNA from 1 species
GAGUGGCUUUUGUGAGACCUUUCUGCCUAGCUCUAGCUCAUGGUUGUUAUCCUGUCCUCACUCUUCCUGGGCUUAGCAGAGGUCAUGUUCUUGCUUGUGCUUUCUGCUAAGUGAGACAAGACCUUCAUGCCUUCCUCUCCAGCUUCUCAGUAGAGGCAUGCAGAACAUACCCAAUGUCACAAACAAACCUCGAGUGGGCAAGCAAGAAGCCAGGAAUCAGAUGCUGGCUUGAAUCCAGAGGCUGAUGUGGGCCCAAAACCUGCCUGAAAAAUGGAACAAAGGGAAGACAUUGGCCUAAGAGAACACAAGAGAUGCUGCUAAGGUCAUUUAUAGCUUGUAGAAGACUACAAGUAGUCUCAUUUCAGCCAGGACUGGAUACAGGCCAUGGCUAGGUUUGCUAAGGCGCAUGACAGAUGACCCUUGUGAACCAAUGUUGGAAGAACCUCUCGUUGGGAAGGUGCCAUGGAGAACACUCAGCAUCAAUGCCCUACAAGUUUUCUUUAAUGUCCAGUGUAGCUCAUGUUCAAAAUAGCAAUGGAAAUGUGUGGUGUUUAUUGCAGGCACAUAUGUUUGUGAUCAAGGUAUAGCUCUCAGGGAUGAGAAGCAAAAUGCAGUCAUUUGCUGCUCAGCAUCAUAGCUCUCAUACAUUCAACGAAAUAGCUUUAUUUAUCUUCUUCUGCAUAUAGGACCUUCCAUAUUGCAAAUUUAUUGAAUGGUUAAUGGCCUAAAAGUAUGGGGUUCAUUACAGAGAGAUGUAUUUAUUGCAGUGUUAAUUAAAUAAAAGCAUUGUAAUCUUUCCAAAUUGAACAAUUACGUUCAUUUAAACAUUUUAAGGAGAGAAAAAAACUUCUAUAUACUAAUUGAGUUGUAUAAUGAAAAGCAUGUGUAAUGGAAAUUUAAAUAAAACAAAUACUGAAAUAAUUCAAAUAAUUCUUUAACAAUA